rnacentral:miRNA from 1 species
UUAGGUUGGUCCAAAAGUAAUUGAAGUUUUUGCCAUUGAAAGUAAUGGCAAAAUUUGCAAUUACUUUUGCACCAACCUA